ACGAGUUUGAUCCUGGCUCAGAGUGAACGCUGGCGGCAGGCCUAACACAUGCAAGUCGAACGGCAGCACGGCAGUAGCAAUACUGUGGGUGGCGAGUGGCGGACGGGUGAGGAAUACAUCGGGAUCUACCCUGUUGUGGGGGAUAACGUAGGGAAACUUACGCUAAUACCGCAUAAGAACUGAGGUUGAAAGCGGCGGACCGCAAGGCGUCGCGCGAUUGGAUGAACCGAUGUCCGAUUAGCUAGUUGGCGGGUAAAGCCACAAGGCGACGAUCGGUAGCUGGUCUGAGAGGACGACCAGCCACACUGGAACUGAGACACGGUCCCAGACUCCUACGGGAGGCAGCAGUGGGGAAUAUUGGACAAUGGGCGCAAGCCUGAUCCAGCCAUGCCGCGUGGGUGAAGAAGGCCUUCGGGUUGUAAAGCCCUUUUGUCCGGAAAGAAAAGCAUUCGGUUAAUACCCGGGUGUUCUGACGGUACCGGAAGAAUAAGCACCGGCUAACUUCGUG
rnacentral:rRNA from 1 species